AAUUUCUUCUAGUUUCCUUCUUUGUUCUUCCUUUUUCUUCCUUCUCUUCUCUUUUCUUUUUUCUCUUUUCGCAGCCAAAGCCAGCCUCCGACUUUCUUCCCUUAACUGUUAAAGAUCAAUAAAGCAGAAAUAUAACGUUGAAAUUUACCCUGGAGAAGAAGUUGUCACAUAAUCAUUUAAUCAUAAGGAAACCAUGAUAUCAUAAAAUUCAAAGUCAUCUAGUUCAAUUCAUUGUUUUAUCAAGAUCAUAUUCAAACCACUCUAAAGAGACAAUAUUUUUACAAUAUCAAGAUCAAAUUAACAAUAUAAGACUAAUUUUAAAAUGGGUAAAUAAUAAACAGAUACAUAGCUUUUAAUCAUUAAGGACAUGUAAGUUGAACCGACAAAAUACCAUUUUUUGAUCAUUAAUUUGGCGAAAUUUAAAAAGGUAUCAGAUAUCAGCACAAGUUUGAGAAACUGAAUUCUCUCCUGUACUGCUGCGGGCAUGAAUAUUUACAUUUUAGAAAAAGUAAUUUGAAAGCUUCCUAACAAAAAUUACAAACUGCUUAUCCCAACAACUUAUUAUAUAAAAUGUCUAUCUCUAGUGAAAAAACAAGGGUUCAGCAAUUUUCUUUGCAAAUUGAUUAUAAUGGCAAUACAUGGAAACAAGGUAAGUCUGUCAAUGGGAAGGAAUAAAUUAACAGUAUAUAUUCACAGAAUACUAGAUAGGCACCGUAAGUAUUAUAAAUAUGUACUUGGGAAAAUGCUCCCAGUUUACAUUUGUUAGGAGAAAAAAAGGCACACUGAAGACUAAUAAUCACUUUUAUGAGAGAAGAGAACCCUCUUUGUGCAUCGAUUUGUAUAAAUACAGAAAAAAAAACCAUAAAAGUUAUAAAUAAAAGGGUAACAGAGACUACCUCUGGAGGGUGGAACAGGAGGAGGGAUAGCAGAAUGAUGGUGACUUUCAAUUUUACUUUAUAUAACUAUACAGUGUUUCUAUUUGUUAAAAUGAGUACAUUAUUACUUUCAUAGUCAAAAAACUAACUGUAGGUUUAAAAGUCCAAAAAUAUAUCUUAAUAAACUAUUUUAACUGUUAAAUUUUCUUUCUUGGCUCAUAAAGGUAUGAAAAUCAUCUUCAAACUCUGUCUGCAUGUCAUCUAAAAGAUGUUUUUUAAAAACUAUUCUCCACCCAUAAUCUAGCAUUCUGAAUUAUUUUAUGUGUAUUUUAAAUAUGUGUCAAAACAAUGUCAGUUAAGGCAUGGAGCCUACAACAUGUAAAACCAGUCCUCAUAAAUUCAUAAGCCAAACAAUAUUUAGUUUUCAUUCAAAAAAGUCUGACUUCAUCUUUUAAGUGCUGUGCUUUUGCUAGAUACUCUCUGUCCUGCCUUUCAAAUUAACCCUCUCCGGUUUUUUUUUUUUUUAAGCCAAAUUUAGCAGCUGGGGGUUGUAUACCAACUUUAGUGACACUAACGUUAAUAAGUUCUGAUAACCCAUGACACUCAAACCAGCUCUCUGCUAGGUUCUUGAAAAGUUUGGCCCACCACCAGGUUUUUACACCCUGCGGUAAUGCAACAUACUUACCUUAGGCUAGGUGAGAGAUAAGUCUUGUUCCUGAAAAGGGCAACAGUGAAGGAAAACCUGUAGGUAGAAUACCCAUACUUUCUCCAGCAAAUCGAUUUUAGGAAAGAAUGCAUCUAAAAGCUAAAGAUACAGAAACUGCCUGCAUCGUAACCCUGGAAAUUUCUGCUGGACUCCCAGAAAGCUCCAGUCUGAAGAUCAGUAGAGGAGCUUUUACCCCUGCUGAAGUAUUAGGAACAAAACAGUAACUGGUGACCUUUACUCCCUGGAUCACCACAAGGGAGGAGUAAUAUCUGAUUGGUGAGUUUGAAAGAAGAAACUGAGCAUGUGUGACUCAGCUCAUUUGAGCCUUGCUUAUGUGUUUUCUCCACGUGGACCCCAGUGAAGGAGGGAGAAGUGUGCUUGUUCUGUCUAGCUUUGAUUUUGUGGAACAGAGACUGGGUCUCACUACAUUGGCCAGGCCGGAUUUGAAUUCCUGGGCUCAGCCUCCCGAGUAGCUGGGACUACAAGCAUGUACCACCAUGCCCAGUUUUCUGCAGCAGUUUUUAUAAACCAAAUUUUCCAAAUUAGAAAGACUGACCAAAGAAGCACUUUUAUACGAGGAAUAACUUACGUAUGGAGAAUCUCAACUUGGACCAGUCAAGACCAACUCCAGCGAUGAAGCCAGAAUGUAAUAUAUCUCAAAAGGCUAAAGAAGUCCAUUUUCCCAGAUGUAAAUUAUAAUUAAAAAAUAGUGAGCCAAACUCUAAUAUCCCAAUGUGAUAAUCUUUCAAAUAAAAAUAUGGGCUGUAGUUCAGGAAAAAAGUGGCUUCUCUAUAAUUAAAAAUUUUACAUAUGUUCCACGUUCACUCAAAACUAUACAUAAAAGUAUAUAAUGCAUGUGCAGGAAUCAAUUUAGAUAGAAUUGAUUAAUGAUUAAGAAUUCUUCAUUAGCUUUUGGUUUUAAUAUUAUGGAAAAAUAUACAACGAUAUUUAAAAGAAGCUUCUCUUGACUUCUCUUAAAACUAAGGCUCUUGAAAGUAUAAACAUUAAGGUUAAAUAACGCUGGCAAGAAUACAAGGAAAUGACAUUGGUGUAUUGCUAAUGGUACUAGGAAAGUAUUCUGCAAGUAUCUACUAAAUUAAAAAUACAGUAGUGCCCCCUUAUCCAUGAUGAGUAAGUACAUUCCAAGAUCCCUGGUAGAUGCCUGAAACCUUGGAUAGUACUGGACCCUGUAUAUAUAUGUUUUUUCAAAGAAACCCAUGAUAAAAUUUAAUUUAUAAAUUAGGCACAAUGAAAGAUAAGCAACAAUAGCAAUAAAAUAGAACAAUUAUAACAAUAUGCCAGUAACACUACUCUUGCACUUUGGGGCCAUUAUUAAGUAAAAUUAGGGUUUCUUGAACACAAGCACUGUGAUACCUCAACAGUCAAUCUGAUAACUGAGGGCUACUAAGUGGAUACACCAGACAAAAGGAGGAUUCAUGUCCCAGGUGGGACAGAAAAGGACGGCGCAAAAUUUCAUCACACUACUCAGAACGGCAUGCAACAUGAAACUUAUGAAUUGUUUAUUUCUGGAAUUUUCCAUUUAAUAUUUUCAGACCAUAGGGAAAGCAAAACCACAAAUAAAGGGACUACUAUAUGUUGACCCACAUGAAGGAACUUAUUUCAUAAAAAUAAAAGGAGCAAAAUAUUUAAAAAAUAUGUAUAAGGGUGUUUAUUACAAUAUUAUUUGUCGUGACAAAAAACUGGAAACAAACUUAUUAUGGACUAUUCUGCAGUUAUUUAAAAUCACUAUCAAAUGACAAUAUCCAUCAGUUACUAAGAGAGGGGAAAGCAAGUAUUAGAGUAAUAUGUUUGCAUGAUUCUGUUUUUUAAAAAAAGUACACCAUCACAAUCAGUGUGAACAUUUAUUCAUUCAACAAAUAUUUAUUGAGUGCCUACUAUAUGCCAGACACUAUUUUAUGUUCUAGUAAUAGAGACAAACAAGAUAAUUAAGUAUUUUGAAUGAAUACAAUAUUUAGAAUGUUGAAAAGUGAAAAAUAAAGCAGAGAAGAGCAGAAAAGUGCUUGUGAAGAGGAAACUAAAACAUGAGGACAUCUAAGGGACAUUCAUGGAAGAUGCUGCUGACAGCACAAACAAAAAGAGGAUGGUCAGUAUGGAUAGAGCAAGGUGACUAAGAGAAAGAGUAAUAAAAAACAAGGCCAGAGAGGUUUAAGAAGUGGUGUGGGUAGGCAGAUCAUUACAGGAUCUUAAAAGGCCUUAUAGGUAAUUGCAGAGGUAAAGAUUUUAAAACAACCAUUAUCACAUUUCUAACUUCAGUUAUCUUAAAAUGAUGGCAGCUGUUCUUGUCUUUGUUUCACAGUUUAAACUGAGCACACUGUUAUAAUAAAAAAACAAAAAUUUAAAGAAUCAAAUAUAUAUUCUAUCACACAAACUGGCUCAAUUAUACUGCCUUGUAUUUAGCAGGCAUUAAAUAAAUGUUAGGUAGUGAAUAUAAAAACAGGUCAAGUAAUAGUUAUAGUGGUCAUUAUAUCUCUUAAUGCACUCAUAUUCUUUUAACAUUUUUAAAUGGCCAAAACAGCUACUUUUAAUUUGCUCAGAAUAUAAACCACAAAUUUUUAAAAAUGAAGAGCUUCCAAAAUAAAAUACAUUUUUUCAGAAAAUAGUAUUUUCAAAUUUAAAUUAGAAUAAAGUACUUCAAAUGAUUCAUAUUAAUGUAGGACAAAAUGUAGAACUUAAUAAAGAAAGCAAGUAUAGUAAAAAAGAAUGUAGCUAACAAGUCAAAAAACGCAUAUGCAUAAUUAUCACUGCAUCUCCUUUAUAAAUUUAAAUAGUAGAUGUUAAAUUUUAUAGCAUUUUGACCUUUUUAAAAAAAUUUUAUUUAUUUUUUGAGACGGAGUCUCACUCUGUUGCCCAGGCUGGAGUGCAGUGGCGUGAUCUUGGCUCACUGCAACCUCCGCCUCCCAGGUUCAAGUGAUUCUCCUGCCUCAGCCUCCAGAGUAAAUGGGAUUACAGGCAUGCACCACCACGUCCGGCUAAUUUUCGUAUUUUUGGUAGAGACGGUGUUUUGCCAUGUUGGCCAGGCUGGUCUCAAGCUCCUGACCUCAGGUGAUGUGCCCGCCUCGGCCUCCCAAAGUGCUGGGAAUACAGGCGUGAGCUACUGCGCCCAGCCACUGACCUUUUUAUAAAAGAUGAGAUAUGGCAGUUCCAUAAUAUUCAAUGCCAAACCAAUUAUUUUCCUAUGAUUACUAUUCAGUUAAGUUCUAGAGUACAGAAUUAUAGGGGAAAAUGUGGCAGAAAAGGGAAGUGAAGAAGCUAUAAGACUGUCCAAACUAUAUGCUGUUUUGGUGUAUUUUACUCCCCAUGGGAAUAGAUGGGAAUGAUGUUGUAGUCUGCCUGAAAGAGAAAAGUACAAGAGAAGUCACCCAUUUAAAAAGUGUACUCAUUUGACAUUCCAAGAUUUGUAUUUCACUAGUUGGUUAUGCCUUGGUAGUGCAUUUGGUACUUGUGAUAAACCUGUUGGCAAUAAAUUACAAGGUCUAAAACAAUAAAUUAUAAGAUCAAAAAACAACAGAUGUGGUUGAGGAUUAAGAGAUCAUUAGCUGAGAUAAGACUAAAAUCCAGAACUAGAAGCUAAGUUUUCUGACUUCCAGAUCAAUGUAAUUCCUAUAACAAAAUUUUGUUAGUUACAAAGAAGCUUUCAAUGAUGUUCAAUGUACUCAUAAUUCUCUCCACGAUUUGAGCCAAAUGUAGAAAGAAAUCAUGUACGUAAUUUAAAGCAAACAAAACAAAACAAAAAGACGGAUUACAAAUCAAAAGAAGAGAAAACAAGAUGGAAAAAAGUGGGUAGUUUUCAUGUGUAAAGAUUAUUGUUACCUUUUCCAAGUCUAACUCCUCUAACAAAAUGCUGGCGUUUUUGUUUGCUUCAGCAGCCUGUCUAUCUUUGGCUUGUACUAUUGACUCCAUACAAAGAUGACACUUCUUCAGCAUCUCCUAUAAUGAAAAAUUAAGAUUUUUCCAGGCUCACAGAACAAUUCUCACUUAGAGAAAUUCCUAAAAACACGAAGAUCUUUAGUAAGGUACUCAAACCUAAGCAAUAAAGAUCCAUGAAAGGGGGAAAAAAGGUGUGCAAAUAAAAACGUAAUUGACAUGGUAUAUUUAGGAAUAUAUACAAAUGAAGAAUCAAAGAGUAGCUUUUGCUAUUCUUCAAAAUAAUAUCCAUUUAGCAGGCACUUCAGAAACUAAAGUCAUUUAUCCUCUAAUUUAAAU
rnacentral:lncRNA from 1 species